UAAUCGGUAAUCGAAAUCGAAAAUUAGGUCUCACUUUCUCACUUAGCACCGUUCUUAAUAUUGCUCAUCUCCCUUCCCCUGAUCGAAGCUGACGACGCAACACUCCGACGAGCUCAACCCCAUUCCCAAACCGCCGACGCCACCCAUCCAAAGACCAAAGCUACUAGCCUGCUACCGUGCUACGCCUCUGACAGUUCCUUCUCCCGUCUCACUUAUCAAAUUCUCAGGUUUGUUUUCAAAUUUCUCCCUUCUUGCUUAUCAGUUUGUCACUUCUUGGUUGCAAUUGCCAAUUUGUGCAUUGCUUUGUUGUUAUUGGAUUGCUUGUUCAUCCCUAAACAGCUGAUUAGUACACCGAUUUUGGAAUGGCAGGAAACUACCGACUAUUCUAAUCUUCUACACCGGUUCAAUUUAUGAAAUUAUUACACCCUAAUGUUCAAUUUCUUAUUCCGACUGCUAUAAAUUUGUAUAUAAUACACAAUUUGUUAACUCAAAGUUGAUGGUUUGGUUUUGGAUUUGUUUAUGAAUUAUAAUGCUGAAAUAUCGGCGAUUUAUUAUGAAUUCUGUCAUUCUGAUGCUGAAAUAUUGUUCAUGAAUUUGUUUAUGAAAUAUAAUGCUUAAAUAUUGUUCCUGUAUGACCUAAAAACAUAAUUUUUUGGUAACUACGGACUUUGUGUUUUACUUUGAAUGU
rnacentral:lncRNA from 1 species